GUGCUUGCUUCAGCAGCACAUACACUAAAAUUAAAAUGAUACAGUGAGGAUUAGCAUGGCUCCCGCCCAAGGAUGACACACAGAUUCAUGAAGUGUUCCAUAAUUUU